CAAAAUUUUUGUGAACUUGGCAAAAGGACAAAAGAAUAUUUAAAUAAGACAACUGAAAUUGCCUAAAUAACCUUCAAAGCACUGACUAAGUACAAUAAAUCACUACGAACAUAUAUCGUAUACACCCCCCGGAAAGUUUACACUAUUAUGCCUGAUCCCUGACUCAUAUGAAUUUUCCCCCACUCAUCACAAUACUUGUCAAGUUUCGAAGAAACUUGACACUAAAAACCAUCACUCUAAUAAUAUUUAGCUGGUCAAAAUUAUCAAUGUCCUAAAAUUGCCGGUCAUUGACCGGUGAGCGGCCGUUAUUUGCAGCGCUGGUAACACGGCAGUGUCUAUAUCAGUGUUUCCACAACCGCUUGUUCAAAAAUCCCUUUACAAUCUCGAAAAUUCCUUUUUCCCCACAAAAUUUCCUUGCCACCCAAACGGUGGAAAAAUCAAGAAAAUUCAGGCAAAUUUGAGUCAAAUGUAUCUAAACCCGACGAGAAAUCGAGCAUCAUUACAUUGCCUGAAAAUUUGGGCAAUCAUUCAAGAGUUCCCUCCAUGAAAGUACUGUAUC